AAAAAGGUUUUUUUAAAAACCACAUUUCACUUAUCAACAGAACAUC
rfam:Picoides pubescens contig42710, whole genome shotgun sequence.